AUUUGGUCUCCUUCCACACUCGGUUGACUAGAACCAUCUCUCCUUCCCGCAGCUGAUACGACAACUUGGGGGGCAGUUGCUGUCUAGUGAUCCCCACGUCGGAGCGGAAGCCCGCGCCGCCACACACGCACCACGCACGCCGCGCACAUGCGCAGCCCUCGCUCUCGCACGCAACUCGCGGCCACCUAGCCUAGUGGCGGCUGCCCCGCGUCCUGGCUGAGGGAUGGCGGGACCCCAGGCGGCUGGAGUGGCGAAAGUUGACCGCCCCCGUCUUUUCUGCCCCGUGGGUGGCUACUGCGUGCCCCCAAGUAACCCAGAGGUUGAGGGCCCCCCAGUACGCGGCGGCCUGGGGUCAGGAUGCGGGACUCCCCUCCACCGCCAUGAUCUCGCAGUGUGGGGGAGCGCUCAGGGACAGAGAUGAGGCCCAAGAUGUGUGCCUUCUCCUUGCUCCUGACCGCUGACUUCGUUAUUCCAAAUACGCAGCCGAAACCACAGCUCUUGCAGGUGCAGCUUUUCUCUGCCUCUCCUAUGUGGAAAGCAGCGCAGCGUGGACUCCAGCCAAACUCCCCGGGUUGGAUUGCAGCUCUCUGGCUCUCUGUCCCUUGUUCAUUUCCUCAAGAGGACACAACAAGGCACCAUCUUGGAAGCAGAGAGCGAGCCAUCACUGGACACCAAACCUGCAGGUGCCUUGAUCUUGGACUUCCCAGCCUCUAUAAUUAAAUGGACAAGCUGAUUCUAAAAUUCAUAUGGAACUGCAAGGGACACAGAAGAACCGAAGCAGUCUUGGACAAGAACAAUGUUAGAAGACUCACUUCUCCAUUUCAAAACUUACUACAAAACUAUAGUAAUUGGCCCGGUGCGGUGGCUCACGCCUGUAAUCCCAGCACUUUGGGAGGCCAAGGUGGGCAGAUCACUUGAGGUCAGGAGUUUGAAACCAGCCUGGCCAACAUGGUGAAACCCCAUCUCAACUAAAAAGACAAAAAAAUUAGCUGGACAUGGUGGUGGGUGCCUAUAAUCCCAGCUACUCAGGAGGCUGAGGCAGAAGAGUGGCAUGAACCUGGGAGGCAGAGGUUGCAGUGAGCCGAGAUCACACCAUUACACUCCAACCUGGGCAACAGAGCGAGACUCUGUCUCAAAAAAAAAAAAAAAAAGAGUUCAUAACAGCACUAUUCACAAUAGCCCAAAAAUGGAAACAACACAGACGACCACCAACAGAUAAAUGGAUAAACAGAAUAAAGGGAUAUUAUUUAGCAUCACGGAUAAUGAGGUGUUGAAUGAGGCUACGGCGCAGAUGAACCUGGAAACACUGUGCAAAGGGAAAGAUGCCCGACACAAAAGCCCACAUGCCGUGUGAUUCCACUUCUAGGAAAUGUCCAGAACAGGCAAAUCCACAAAGACAGGAAGUAGAUUGGUGGAUACCUAGGGCAUGGGGUGGGGAGAAGUGGGGAAUAACUGCCAGCAGAUUUGCGGUUUCUCUUGGGGAAGAGGAAAUGUUCUGGAAUUACAUCGUGGCGAUGCAUGUACAGCAUAGUGAAUAUACU